UGGAUUUGCCUCCUUUUACUCUUUCUCGGGCACCAUGUGAUGUCUUCUACCAUGUACAGUGCAACAAGAAGGCUCUCACCAGAUGCUGGACCUUGAUAUUGGACUUUCCAGCCUCCAGAACUAUGAGCCAUCAUUUUUCUGCUCAUCAUAAAGUACCCAGUUUCAGGUGGAGAUGUGAGGCCAGGAGCUGCUCCAGCUGAAUUGAAUAUAAGUCUUUAAGCUAAAAGAUUCAAUCUUCUACAUAGGAAUUUCAGAGUACUAUUGGAACAAGAUGUGUCAAUGUGAAGAUCUCCAGCUGUUAAUGUUCACUAGGCUCUCAUGCCAGCCUGUAUUUUCUGGGCCCUUAGCCUGUGAUACAGGCUAGGCCCUCCUACAUGGGGUCCUGCCACUUCUCAGGAAGAGGACUUACCCGGCAUACUUUGUGCCUUUAGAUAAAACCGCUACCAUUCUAUCACUUUGGAGAUUUCAAAUUACAAAGAAACUAUUCAUGAGGCUUUCUCCUUUUUGUGUAUUCUUUCACUGGAAAAGUAGGCCCUGGCCUUAGUGAAGAUAAACCUAAUGUGGGAGGUGGGGAGGUGAGAGCCAAGUUAC
rnacentral:lncRNA from 10 species